AUGGGGGAAAACGAGGAUGAGAAGCAGGCCCAGGCGGGGCAGGUUUUUGAGAACUUUGUCCAGGCAUCCACGUGCAAAGGUACCCUCCAGGCCUUCAACAUUCUCACACGACACCUGGACCUAGACCCUCUGGACCACAGAAACUUUUAUUCCAAGCUGAAGUCCAAGGUGACCACCUGGAAAGCCAAAGCCCUGUGGUACAAAUUGGAUAAGCGUGGUUCCCACAAAGAGUAUAAGCGAGGGAAGUCGUGCACGAACACCAAGUGUCUCAUAGUUGGGGGAGGACCCUGUGGCUUGCGCACUGCCAUUGAACUUGCCUACCUGGGAGCCAAAGUGGUCGUGGUGGAGAAGAGGGACUCCUUCUCCCGGAACAACGUGCUACACCUCUGGCCUUUCACCAUCCAUGACCUUCGGGGCCUGGGAGCCAAGAAGUUCUAUGGGAAGUUCUGUGCUGGCUCCAUCGACCAUAUCAGUAUUCGCCAACUACAGCUCAUCCUAUUCAAGGUGGCCCUGAUGCUGGGAGUUGAAAUCCAUGUGAAUGUGGAGUUCGUGAAGGUUCUAGAGCCUCCUGAAGAUCAAGAAAAUCAAAAAAUUGGCUGGCGGGCAGAAUUUCUCCCUACAGACCAUUCUCUGUCGGAGUUUGAGUUUGACGUCAUCAUUGGUGCCGAUGGCCGCAGGAACACCCUGGAAGGAUUCAGAAGAAAAGAAUUCCGUGGGAAGCUGGCGAUUGCCAUCACCGCCAACUUCAUAAACAGAAACAGCACAGCGGAAGCCAAGGUGGAAGAGAUUAGUGGUGUGGCUUUCAUCUUCAAUCAGAAAUUUUUUCAGGACCUUAAAGAAGAAACAGGCAUAGAUCUUGAGAACAUUGUUUACUACAAGGACUGCACCCACUAUUUUGUAAUGACAGCCAAGAAGCAGAGCCUGCUCGACAAAGGUGUCAUCAUUAACGACUACAUCGACACAGAGAUGCUGCUGUGUGCGGAGAACGUGAACCAAGACAACCUGCUAUCCUAUGCCCGGGAAGCUGCAGACUUUGCCACCAACUACCAGCUGCCAUCCUUAGACUUUGCCAUGAACCACUAUGGGCAGCCUGAUGUGGCCAUGUUUGACUUUACCUGCAUGUAUGCCUCAGAGAACGCGGCCCUGGUGCGGGAGCGGCAGGCGCACCAGCUGCUCGUGGCCCUUGUGGGUGACAGCUUGCUUGAGCCAUUUUGGCCCAUGGGUACAGGCUGUGCCCGUGGCUUCCUGGCAGCCUUUGACACGGCAUGGAUGGUGAAAAGCUGGAACCAGGGCACCCCUCCCCUGGAGCUGCUGGCUGAAAGGGAAAGUCUCUACCGGCUGUUACCUCAGACAACCCCGGAGAACAUCAACAAGAACUUUGAGCAGUACACGUUGGACCCAGGGACACGGUACCCAAACCUCAACUCACACUGUGUCAGGCCCCAUCAGGUGAAGCAUUUGUAUAUCACUAAGGAGCUGGAGCACUACCCUCUCGAGAGACUGGGCUCGGUGAGGAGAUCUGUCAACCUCUCCAGGAAGGAGUCAGAUAUCCGGCCCAGCAAGCUCCUAACCUGGUGCCAGCAGCAGACAGAGGGCUACCAGCAUGUCAACGUCACCGACCUGACCACAUCCUGGCGCAGUGGGUUGGCCCUGUGUGCCAUCAUCCACCGCUUCCGGCCUGAGCUCAUCAACUUUGACUCUUUGAAUGAAGAUGAUGCUGUGGAGAACAACCAGCUCGCAUUUGAUGUGGCCGAGCGAGAGUUUGGGAUCCCUCCAGUGACCACGGGCAAAGAGAUGGCAUCUGCCCGGGAGCCUGACAAGCUCAGCAUGGUCAUGUACCUCUCCAAGUUCUACGAGCUCUUCCAGGGCACCCCACUGAGGCCCGUGGAUUCUUGGCGCAAAAACUAUGGAGAAAAUGCUGACCUCAGCUUGGCCAAAUCAUCCAUUUCUAAUAACUAUCUCAACCUCACAUUUCCAAGGAAGAGGACUCCACGAGUGGAUGGUCAAACCGGAGAGAAUGACAUGAACAAACGGAGGCGGAAGGGCUUCAAUAACCUGGACGAGCCUUCAAACUUUUCCAGCCGUAGCUUGGGCUCCAAUCAAGAGUGUGGGAGCAGUAAGGAAGGUGGAAAUCAGAACAAAGUCAAGUCCAUGGCGAAUCAGCUGCUGGCCAAGUUUGAGGAGAGCACUCGGAACCCCUCACUCAUGAAGCAGGAAUCUAUGCGAAAGUCAUUUCCCCUUAACCUGGGAGGCAGCGACACAUGUUACUUCUGUAAGAAACGUGUGUACGUGAUGGAACGGCUGAGCGCCGAGGGCCACUUCUUCCACCGGGAGUGUUUCCGCUGCAGCAUCUGUGCCACCACCUUGCGCCUGGCCGCCUACACCUUUGACUGCGAUGAAGGCAAAUUUUACUGCAAGCCUCACUUCAUUCACUGUAAAACCAAUAGCAAACAACGGAAGAGACGGGCAGAGUUGAAGCAACAAAGAGAGGAGGAGGCAACAUGGCAAGAGCAGGAAGCCCCUCGGAGAGACACUCCCACCGAAAGUUCUUGCGCAGUGGCCGCCAUUGGCACCCCAGAAGGCAGCCCCCCAGGUAUCUCCACCUCCUUCUUUAGGAAGGUGCUGGGCUGGCCCCUCAGGCUGCCGAGGGACCUGUGUAACUGGAUGCAGGGACUCCUGCAAGCCGCUGGCCUCCAUAUCAGGGACAAUGCUUACAACUACUGCUACAUGUACGAGCUCCUGAGCCUGGGGCUGCCACUCCUCUGGGCGUUCUCUGAGGUCCUGGCAGCCAUGUACAGGGAAUCUGAGGGCUCCCUCGAGAGCAUCUGCAACUGGGUGCUCAGGUGCUUCCCAGUCAAGCUCCGCUGA
rnacentral:sRNA from 1 species